rnacentral:rRNA from 1 species
UGGGGAAUUUUGGACAAUGGGGGCAACCCUGAUCCAGCAAUGCCGCGUGUGUGAAGAAGGCCUUCGGGUUGUAAAGCACUUUUGUCCGGGAAGAAAUCGCACCUGAUAAUACCGGGUGUGGAUGACGGUACCGGAAGAAUAAGGACCGGCUAACUACGUGCCAGCAGCCGCGGUAAUCCGUAGGGUCCAAGCGUUAAUCGGAAUUACUGGGCGUAAAGCGUGCGCAGGCGGUUGUGCAAGACCGAUGUGAAAUCCCCGGGCUUAACCUGUGAAUUGCAUUGGUAACUGCACGGCUAGAGUGUGGCAGAGGAGGGUAGAAUUCCACGAGGAGCCGUGAAAUGCGUAGAGAUGUGGAGGAAUACCGAUGGCGAAGGCAGCGCGCUGGGAUAACACUGACGCCCAUGCCCGAAAGCGUGGGGAGCAAACAGG